GAGGCUCUGAUGCUGAUCAGUAAUGUCAUUGAUUUCUAGGUGUUACCUAUGUCAUUUUAAAAACAUAAAUUUUUUCAGAACGUAGUUGACUUAGAAAGUUGUGUUGGUUUCAGGUGUACAGCCAGGUAAAUCUGUAACACAUACAUAUGUCUGUUCCUUUUCAGAUUCUUUUUCCGCAUAGGUCAUUACACUGUAUUGAGUAGAUUACUCUGCAAGUACAGUAGGUCCUUGUUACCUAUUUUAUAUAUAGCAGUAUGUGUAUGUCAGUCCCAACCCCCUCACUCAUCCUCCUGCCCCACAUUUCCCCUUUGGUAACCAUAAAAUUGGUUUCAAAAUCUUGGAGUCUGUUUCUGUUUUGUAAGUUCUCUUGCAUCAUUUUUUUUUGUUGUUGUUAGAUUUCACAUAUUAGUGAUCUAUAUUUGUCUUUUUCUGUCAUUUUAAUUUCUUCCUGUUACCAGGUGCCUUUGUACCUAAGAGACAGUCAUGAACAGAAUUUGCAAUGGAAAUACACUGGAGGAAACACACUGGAGGAAAAUACACAUUCUCUGAAAUUUGAAGCCAAAGAAAAGCUUCCAGAGAAAGAAAAUGAGAAAGUCUCAAGAAUUAAAUGGAGUUGUCAUAAAAAAAGAGAGAAGGGCAGAAAGAGAGACAUUCUGCAAGUACAAGAAACUAAACCCUGGUAGGAAAAGGUUAAGAUCUCAAGGAAGACAAGACUUGGGCCAAGGCAGAUUGAGGGGAGAUGUCAAUACUCAGAGAAACCACAGCCACAGAAUUAUAAGGACUUGAAGGACCAUUUACAACUCUGGUGGCUUUUCUGAGCUUUGUUGAGUAAAAGGCAAGGAAACAUGACAUCGCAGAGGUCCUUACGGUACAGAGAAAAAGGAUUCUCAUACAAGCUGCUUAGAAGAACAAAUUACUGCUAAUUACCAGGAUGUUUAAUGGAGAUCAAUCUGAUAGUU
rnacentral:lncRNA from 1 species